AACCCAAAUUAAUUAUACUCGGCGUAAAAUGUGUCUCUAGAUUUUGCAUAAUAGAAUUUAAAAUCAACUAAUAUGUGAAAAUUUAUUGUUGAAAUUAAAACCGCUGACGAAAGUAAUUCUAAACAACUUAAUACACGAUAGCUAAGAUCCAAACUGGGAUUAGAUACCCCACUAUGCUUAGCCCUAAACAUCAAUAAUUUAUAACAAAAUUAUUUGCCUGGGAACUACUAGCCACCGCUUAAAACCCAAAGGACUUGGCGGUACUUUAUAUCCACCUAGAGGAGCCUGUUCUAUAAUCGAUAAACCCCGCUACACCUUACCACUUCUUGCUAAUU
rnacentral:rRNA from 1 species